UGGGUUUUGUGGGUGGUUGUUUCCUGUCUUUGUGUUUUCUGCACCAGAUAGGACUGUUCCGGGUUUUGCCACAUUUAUUGUUUUGUUUUGUGUUCAUGUUGAGUUUCUCUUAUUAAAUAACAUGAACUCUAACAAUGCUGCAUUUUGGUCCUCCUCUCCUUCGACGGAAGAAAUCCAUUACAACAUCUCUACAGGUUGUCAUGGCUCUUGGACACAGCGGGGAAGAUGGAGGAAACUAGAGGCCCACAAGUAGAGUGACCUUGGAUGGAGAGAGUACAUAAGAAGAAGAGUAAAGAGAAGGAGAGCCAGGAGCAGGAGCCAAAACAAAACUAAGAACAAGAAGAAAAUGUUGGAGUAACUGUCAAGAGACAGACCAGCAGACAAAAGUGGCACCAUUUUCUGUACGUUUCUCUGGUUGAGAAGACGUCAUGUAACCAGAUUCCAACUGGUCAGUCGAAGUAAAGACAUUUUCCAUGACAAGAUCAAGACGUCAUGGGAAAGAUGUGAGAUGUUGGAUGUCAUCAAUUAUAUAACCAGAUAAAUAUGUAUUUUUCUGGUUGCUGAAACUGUUCAUUUCCUUAUACAACCACUAUCCCAAAAAACUGAAACAAAAGCAUUUCAUCUCCUUGUGUGACCUUGUUGGAGACCAUUGUAACACAGGGGAUGGAUACUAUUUGUCAGUGGACACUAAUUGGCAUUACAGGAACCUGCCACAUUUUCAAAAUCUGUGGCUGGCAAACCAACCCAAUACACUUGGAAUGUGGAGACGUAAUAGAAUGUCAAAAAGCAAAAAUUACUAUAGACAUCUUUCUGUUUUGGAGAGAGCGUUGGGAUUGCUAGUAAAUGCAUUUGCAGUGGCUAAUUAAUGGUAAAAAGAUAAUGGUUUUGCCCCACAGUUAGCCAAGAUGAUUAAGCUUGCUAGCUAAAAUUGUUUGCAGUUAGUUAACAAUCGUGUCUACACUACUUUCAAUGCCAUUGGAUUAAACUGUGUAAGUAAAGAUGCUGGAAAUUUGUCAUUCAUAUAA